rnacentral:rRNA from 1 species
GUCAGCCUGCCAGUGACCAUGUUAAACGGCCGCGGUACCCUAACCGUGCGAAGGUAGCGCAAUCACUUGUUCUUUAAAUGAGGACUAGUAUGAAUGGCAUCACGAGGGUUACACUGUCUCCCACCUCCAAUCAGUGAAACUGAUCUCCCCGUGAAGAAGCGGGAAUAAGAAUAUAAGACGAGAAGACCCCAUGGAGCUUUAAACUCAGUAUCAACCACCAAGAUUUAUAACAUAAAAAUAGGGGGCCCUGAUUACUAGUUUUUGGUUGGGGUGACCGCGGAGUAAAAUGAAACCUCCACAAUGAAUGACACUCCCAUCUUAUCCAAGAGCCUACAACUCUAAGAAUCAAUAAAUUGACAUCUAUUGACCCAAACAAUUUUGACCAACGAACCAAGUUACCCUGGGGAUAACAGCGCAAUCCAUUUCAAGAGCCCCUAUCGACAAAUGGGUUUACGACCUCGAUGUUGGAUCAGGGUAUCCCAGUGGUGCAGCCGCUACUAAAGGUUCGU